AUUGAACGCUGGCGGCAGGCCUAACACAUGCAAGUCGAACGAGUGGCGGACGGGUGAGUAAUGUCUGGGAAACUGCCUGAUGGAGGGGGAUAACUACUGGAAACGGUAGCUAAUACCGCAUACCAUCGGAUGUGCCAAGAGGGGAUUAGCUAGUAGGUGGGGUAACGGCUCACCUAGGCGCCGAUCCCUAGCUGGUCUGAGAGGGUGACCAGCCACACUGGAACUGAGACACGGUCCAGACGCCUACGGGAGGCAGCAGUGGGGAAUAUUGCACAAUGUGCGCAAGCCUGAUGCAGCCAUGCCGCGUGUAUGAAGAAGGCCUUCGGGUUGUAAAGUACUUUCAGCGGGGAGGCGUUACCCGCAGAAGAAGCACCGGCUAAAAAAGUGACAGCAGCCGCGGUAAUUC
rnacentral:rRNA from 1 species